UACAGAGGGGGCAAGCGUUGUUCGGAAUUACUGGGCGUAAAGGGCGCGUAGGCGGCCUGCUAAGUCGAACGUGAAAUCCCCGGGCUCAACCCGGGAACUGCGUCCGAUACUGGCAGGCUUGAAUCCGGGAGAGGGAUGUGGAAUUCCAGGUGUAGCGGUGAAAUGCGUAGAUAUCUGGAGGAACACCGGUGGCGAAGGCGGCAUCCUGGACCGGUAUUGACGCUGAUGCGCGAAAGCCAGGGGAGCAAAUGGG
rnacentral:rRNA from 1 species